UUUCCAGACUCCUACGGGAGGCAGCAGUGGGGGAUAUUGCACAAUGGGCGCAAGCCUGAUGCAGCGACGCCGCGUGAGCGAAGAAGUAUUUCGGUAUGUAAAGCUCUAUCAGCAGGGAAGAAAAUGACGGUACCUGACUAAGAAGCUCCGGCUAAAUACGUGCCAGCAGCCGCGGUAAUACGUAUGGGGCAAGCGUUAUCCGGAUUUACUGGGUGUAAAGGGAGCGCAGGCGGCGCGGCAAGUCAGAUGUGAAAGCCCGGGGCUCAACCCCGGGACUGCAUUUGAAACUGCCGUGCUGGAGUGUCGGAGAGGCAAGUGGAAUUCCUAGUGUAGCGGUGAAAUGCGUAGAUAUUAGGAGGAACACCAGUGGCGAAGGCGGCUUGCUGGACGAUAACUGACGCUGAGGCUCGAAAGCGUGGGGAGCAAACAGGAUUAGAUACCCGCGUA
rnacentral:rRNA from 1 species